ensembl:snoRNA U3 Small nucleolar RNA U3
AAGACUAUACUUUCAAGGAUCACUUCUAUAGUGUGUUACUAGAACAGGAUCUGGCAUAUAGCAGGUGCUCAAUAAAUGUGUGAAUGUUCAACUCCUAGGUGAUCACA